UACAGAGGUCUCAAGCGUUGUUCGGAUUCAUUGGGCGUAAAGGGUGCGUAGGUGGCGGGGCAAGUUUGGUGUGAAAUCCCGGGGCUCAACCUCGGAACUGCACUGAAUACUGCCUUGCUUGAGCACUGGAGAGGGAACUGGAAUUUACGGUGUAGCAGUGAAAUGCGUAGAUAUCGUAAGGAAGACCAGUGGCGAAGGCGAGUUCCUGGACAGUUGCUGACACUGAGGCACGAAGGCUAGGGGGAGCAAAACGGG
rnacentral:rRNA from 1 species